AGCUCCAAUAGCGUAUAUUAAAGUUGUUGCAGUUAAAAAGCUCGUAGUUGGAUUUGUGCUCUGCUGCGAUGUCCAAUUUGGUACGUUCGCGGGGGAGCAUCCUUGGGUGGAACCUAUGUGGCAUUAAGUUGUCGUGUAGGGGAUGCUCAUCGUUUACUGUGAAGAAAUUAGAGUGUUCAAAGCAGGCUUAUGCCGUUGAAUAUAUUAGCAUGGAAUAAUGAGAUAGGACCUUGGUACUAUUUUGUUGGUUUGCGCACCGAGGUAAUGAUUAACAGGGACAGUUGGGGGUAUUCGUAUUCCAUUGUCAGAGGUGAAAUUCUUGGAUUUUUGGAAGACGAACUACUGCGAAAGCAUUUACCAAGGAUGUUUUCA
rnacentral:rRNA from 1 species